rnacentral:misc_RNA from 1 species
CUGCGGAUGGAUCAUUUUUUAUCUAUUAAGAUUAUUAAUCAUUGAUAGGUGGUUGUUUAAACAUAUUAUAAUUAAAAGUUGAUCGUAUGAUUGAUUGAUAAUUAUAGUUUAGUACUUCCCUUAUCAUGAUGUACUUUUUCAAUAAAUUGAUGAGUGAUAAUCGAUUAGGAUAUAAAAUGUCGAGUGUAAAAACUUGAAUCCAUCUGCAUUAACAAUAUAAAAACUGUUCACUUGUUACAACUGAUCUAACUCUAUAUUAAUUUAAUCUCUAAUUUUUCUAGUAUGACAAACAAAACAUUUAAAAUAUGCUUUAUUUUAAAAAAAUUAAGCAUAAACGGUGAAUACCUCGACUCCUAAAUCGAUGAAGACCGUAGCAAACUGCGAUAAUUCACUUGAAUUGCAGCCUACUGGGAUAGUUGAAAUGUUGAACGCACAUGAUAGCAUUGGUCCUUUCGGAUUAAGUGCUAUACUUGGGUGAGAGUGGCUUUAAAACCAAUCAUUCUAACUGAAUACUUCGGUAAACAUAGGAAUGAUUUGUAUAGUUAUUACUCUAGGCUAAAUUGGAUUUAUUCAAUUUAGAACCUAUUGAAUUUCUAUACAUUUUUUUGGUACUCCAUCGGCACAUUUACAGUUCAUACUAUUAAUAUAAUCAUUAACUCAUAGUUAAUUAUUUUAUAGUUUAACGCAUAGGUUCCUGACCUUCAAACUAACUUGAUUCAUCAUUUAGUAAGAUAACCUGGAAACUGUUUUUCUAUUAGUAAUUAAUGCUUGACGUGUUAUUUGUAUGAUAUUAAUAAUAUGAGUUAAAACUGUAUAGUUGUUCAUAUUAGCAGGAAAGACCUCGGUCAUUCUAUUAAGACUAAUAUUGAUCCGUGACUUUUUUA